rnacentral:snRNA from 1 species
AUACUGACCUGCACCAGGAGUACCGUGAUCAAGAAGGCGGUUCCAUCAGGGUGAGGCCAAAUUGGCUGACCUCUGCGUAUAUCCCAAAUGGGGAUAUCGGGUGUGUAAUUUUUGUGUACGAGGGGACUGCGUACGCGCUAUCCCCGA